ACCACCUUGUCCUUCUUCAAGCA
rnacentral:misc_RNA from 1 species